rnacentral:rRNA from 1 species
AUGAGCUUUAUAAAGCGUUUCUUGGAGGAUCUGGACAUAGUUCAAAACCAAAAAAUGAUACCAGCGCCGGCGCCGACUGUUAAGAGAGCACGCUCAUGGUUGCCACCUGAUGGUGUAGCGGUGAAGUUUAAUUGUGAUGGAGCUUUGUCCACUCUUGGCGAUAGGGGAGCGGCGGAUGUGAUCUGUCGGGAUAAGUCAGGAAAGUUCCUUGGAGCAUCAGCACUUGUGUUCGAGGGAUUGACCGACCCGGCGAGUUUGGAGGCGCACGCUUGCAGUGAGGCCCUUGCCCUUGCUCGCGACUUGAAUGUGGAGGAUCUGGUGAUCGCGUCCGACUGCCUAGAAGUGGUUACAAAUAUCAACGUACAUGCAUCACCAGUCUCAGGUCUUCCCACCCCGACGGCCAGACCUAGCCACGCACGCCAGUUUCAGUGCGCCGAUGCAGCCGCCGGCCGUCCCAGGUCCCUCCGCCGCUCGGGCCGCUUGCCUGCUCCGCCGCUCGCCCGGUGCCCUGGUCCACCCCUCCGCCACUGCCCUGAUUUCCUGCUGGUCCGCCGCUCGCCUGCUCCGCUCUGCACGCCGGCUCUGCUCCGGCCUCUCCUGGUCACCGCCAUGUCCCGCGGCCCUCCACUCGAGCCGGCGCAGGAACCAGAGCCGGCGUUGCUGGCCGAGUACAGGCGACUGGCGGGGGAGGACGGCGACCCGGAGGACAUGCCGGGCUACCUGACGGCGAUGUGGGAGUCGGAGAACGUCCCGAUGCCGCCGCCCCUCGUCCAGGAGUACAUGCAGGUCGCCCCGGUCGCCGUCCACCCGGAGGACCCGUCGUACUUCCCCAGCUACCACGCCGCAGUGGCCGACUCGAUGGUUGCGCCGACCCUGUUGGUGGUGCCCCUAGACGACGCCAGCAGCAGCGACGACGACGACCGGCUCUACGAUGAGGCGGACUUCGGCGGUGUCAAGGACGAGUAG